GAACGAGAAAGGGGAGCAAUCCCUGAGUAAAGUGGCGACCGGGUGAGUAACACGUGACUAACCUGCCCUUGAGUGGGGGAUAACCUCGGGAAACCGGGGCUAAUACCGCAUAACAUCUUCGGGAUGAAAAGCUGAAGAUCAAAGGAGCAAUUCGCUUAAGGAGGGGGUCGCGGCUGAUUAGCUGGUUGGUGGGGUAACGGCCCACCAAGGCGAAGAUCGGUAGCCGGCCUGAGAGGGCGCACGGCCACACUGGAACUGAAACACGGUCCAGACUCCUACGGGAGGCAGCAGUGGGGAAUUUUGCGCAAUGGGGGAAACCCUGACGCAGCAACGCCGCGUGGAGGAUGAAGCCCUUUGGGGCGUAAACUCCUUUCGACCGGGACGAUUAUGACGGUACCGGUGGAAGAAGCACCGGCUAACUCUGUG
rnacentral:rRNA from 1 species